CAAGUGCUUGUGCGUAUGCACCUGUUGGGAUUCCUGUGGAAAUUUUGCACAAGAACGGUUUAAUAUGAUGUUGCCUGCCCUGGCAGUUUAGCUCUGCAGGUCCAUUCUGAAAUGCUGGUAAGCGUGUUUAUCAGGUCAGGAUGUUGAUUCAUCAGGGUUUUCCAAGAGGCAAAGCCAUCCUCCCAUUCCAAGGCCAAGAGGAAGAGCGCAUGGAACUUGGAGAUACUGUACGUUGUUCCCGCAUGUUUCCGAGUGUACAUUCCAGAUGAAGUAGGUCACCCUGCCCGGCUGCCUCUAAUAACACUGCUCUCUCUCUGAAUGAUCACUGUCAGCCAAUCGUAAUGAUCAGAUGCUUCAAUCAGCCAAUCAGAAACAUUAGACUAAUCAAAAUUUGUUAUACAAAAUACUUCAAAUGUUUGUGGACUGCAUUUUGAAUGUUCGUGUCAAGGAUAAUUACAUAGAAGAAUGCACCAAAUCUUUUUGGUCUUCUGUUAUUUCGAGAGUUUCAGUGUAGUGGACUACAGAAGACUAGUAUAAAAACUUCUUUGGACUAAUCAACAAACAUCUAACAGCGAUAGAAAUGACAGAGAGGCAAGACUGUGGAGCUCUGUGCUAAAAAUUAUUUUUAUAAUAUUACAAAUGAUUUCUGAUUUGAAUGUUUUUGAACUGGCUUCUAUUUGAACUGCCUUUUAUUCAUCAAAGAAUCCUGAGAAACCGUUUCUACAAUAUAAACUGUAUUGAGCAUUUAU